AGUCUACUUGAAUUUGGGUUUUUUAACUUCGAUUUGGGUGGCGGACGGGUGAGUAACGCGUAAAGAACUUGCCUCACAGCUAGGGACAACAUUUGGAAACGAAUGCUAAUACCUGAUAUUAUGAUUAUAGGGCAUCCUAGAAUUAUGAAAGCUAUAUGCGCUGUGAGAGAGCUUUGCGUCCCAUUAGCUAGUUGGAGAGGUAACGGCUCACCAAGGCGAUGAUGGGUAGCCGGCCUGAGAGGGUGAACGGCCACAAGGGGACUGAGACACGGCCCUUACUCCUACGGGAGGCAGCAGUGGGGAAUAUUGGACAAUGGACCGAGAGUCUGAUCCAGCAAUUCUGUGUGCACGAUGACGUUUUUCGGAAUGUAAAGUGCUUUCAGUUGGGAAGAAAAAAAUGACGGUACCAACAGAGGAAGUGACGGCUAAAUACGUGCCAGCAGCCGCGGUAAUACGUAUGUCACGAGCGUUAUCCGGAUUUAUUGGGCGUAAAGAGCGUCUAGGUGGUUAUGUAAGUCUGAUGUGAAAAUGCAGGGCUCAACUCUGUAUUGCGUUGGAAACUGUGUAACUAGAGUACUGGAGAGGUAAGCGGAACUACAAGUGUAGAGGUGAAAUUCGUAGAUAUUUGUAGGAAUGCCGAUGGGGAAGCCAGCUUACUGGACAGAUACUGACGCUGAAGCGCGAAAGCGUG
rnacentral:rRNA from 1 species